rnacentral:rRNA from 1 species
UACGUAGGGAGCAAGCGUUAUCCGGAUUUAUUGGGUGUAAAGGGUGCGUAGACGGAGAAGCAAGUUAGUUGUGAAAUCCCUCGGCUUAACUGAGGAACUGCAACUAAAGCUACUUCCCUUGAGUACUGGAGAGGAAAGUGGAAUUCCUAGUGUAGCGGUGAAAUGCGUAGAUAUUAGGAGGAACACCGGUGGCGAAGGCGGCCAGCUGGACUGCAACUGACGUUGAGGCCCGAAAGCGUGGGGAGCAAACAGG